rfam:Mesorhizobium sp. SOD10 genome assembly, contig: MPLSOD_Contig_9
AGCGCUCUAACGGGGUGCCGGACGUGAUCCGGCUGAGAGGCAAUCGAGCCAACCCGCUGAACCUGAUCCGGUUUGUACCGGCGGAGGGAUUAGACGUUUCGGACCA